AUAUAACAGCGAGCUACCGUCCUUCAUUAGAUAUCUUAUCAAGUGGUACUAUCACAACGCAUUGCAUUUCCGUAGUGGUUGAAAAUUUCCAUGGCGUGGGUUUCCAGCCUACACUCACGUAGUAAGGUCUUUCACGUAAAAGAGAUGUUUACGUUUUGAAAUAUGAAACCUUUGAUAAAACCGGAUAAAUCAUCAAUUCAAAAUAGACAAAAAAUAUCCUACGUACUGCGCCAUGGAAUAACCUCGAUAGCAGUUAAAUUUCGCUUAGAACUCUUGGCUAACGCAAAAUGGCGGACCGAACUUGAACUCAAGCCUUUCACCCCUCUUCCAUUCGCACUUUCGAAAAUUGCGAUGGCAAAUUACUCGGAAGGUGAAAUUUCGACAUAUUCCUAAUAAUGAUCUUGUCAUCCUUGGUCCUCGUAAUCUACGGUUUUACUGACUACGGUAUUGAGCUCUAAUUCUUGAUAACUGCCCUUGUACGUACCUCUCGCGGACUAAUUUUGUACCCUGCGAUAAUAAUGUCUUGUAUUUGAGCUCUUUAAUUUUCAUGGCAGUAAAAUUUCGAUCUAACGGGGAAUUCACAACCCGCCAGUUUUCCGCCAUUUUGGAUCAAUAGCGUUAGUCCUUCCGCCCCCGCAGGUUCUGAGUCUACUGGACGCUAGUGUUUAAUUAUUCAACUCAUAAACGAUAACAUUUUCAAGGGGAGUAAAAUUUGCAGCUGAGCCAAUUAAAUUCAAGCUGUUGCGACUUUAGUUACUACAUAUGUUAAUCAAAAACUUUAAUCCAACGAAUAAGUAACUUGUGAAUCGAAAUAGAUUUAAAUCAUUUCGCCAGAACUGAAAUGUCAACAAUCAUGUCACGUUACCGCGAAUGGGAUCCGUCUUGCAAAGUAUACGUUGGAAACCUGGGUAGCAGUGCCAGUAAACAUGAGAUAGAAAGCGCCUUCAGCAAGUACGGACCACUAAGAAACGUUUGGGUUGCAAGAAAUCCUCCAGGAUUUGCUUUUGUUGAGUUUGAGGACCCUAGAGACGCUGAAGAUGCAGUCAGAGGAUUAGAUGGAACACGCUGUUGUGGGACAAGAGUAAGAGUAGAAAUGUCAUCAGGAAGAAGUCGUCGUGGUGGUGGAGGACGUAGACCAGGCCCACGAUACUCCAGAUCCGGAUCUCCAAGUCCACGAAAGAGGUCCCCAGGGCGUUUUCCAAGAAAUAUUUUUCUCAAUUAUUCUAGGUCGUUGUCGCGCAGUCCGCGAGGAACCGGAAUCGACCGGUACUCUAGAUUCUACCAGAGUCAGCUCCUAGCUCUGCUCGUCUCCCCGCCACUACUACUUCUACUGCUACUUCUACUACUACAGCCACCGUGAAAAAAAGACCAAAAAAAAAAAAAACAAACAAUGCAAAAAAAAAAAAAUUACAAAAUCUAGCAAUCAAAUUGAAAAAAUUGCCUGCCUGCCCACUAACCUCCCAACCAGUCACCAUCAGUCACCACCAGUCACCAUGGCUAGGAGUCAAGUCGUCCGACAGUCCGUAGCUGUCCGUCAGUUCCCCUACAAAAAGACUUCUUCGGGCUACCUCCGCCUCUAGGAGCUAGGAAGCAUCGUGACCCACCGAUCAGCCAACGCGAUACGAAUACUUCUAUCAAAAUAUCGGCGCGUCCGUUCGUCCGUCCCAACUUCUACUACUACUACUACUGCUACUACUACUCGUCCACCGUCACGAUUAACUUAGCUGACAAUGCGUCCGCCAGUUCUCUUCGACCGAGCAAAGCAAUAUGAUCACCACCUACACACCAUCCCACCACCACCCAACCAACUACCACAACCACCACCACCACAUGUUCACAGUUGUCUGGUAUUUCACCGAUUUUCAAAGAUUUUUUAUUAUCUUUUCACUUAGGCCAAUUUUCUUCGGGCUAAUGACGCAUUGCUUCUUGCAAGAUGAAAUUAUUUUCAAAUCGUUGACUUCCGCGGUGUUUGGAGAUGCAUAAUCUAUAUUCGUUCUUAUGAUUCAUGAAAAAAAGUGUCGGUACUUUUCAUUAGCCCGAAGAACUGGUGUGUAACAGUUAUUUUCACUUUUAUAAAAUUUAUUUAAUUACUAAAUUAAUCAUACAUUUUUGUUUUUGGUUUGCUUUACCAUUGUUGGUGAGAUGUCAUUUAUAUUAAUUAUUAAUUACUGUGUCUAACUUGUUUAUCUCCCUAUAGGCAUUAGGAUUAGACUAUCCCAAUUCAAUUAGAUUGUCUUGCGAUGAUUUUCAUACCUAUAACUGUUUACUUCGUGUGAACUCUGAUGCUGUUCAUUACCAAUGGAAAAUUUAGCAUAAUUUCACGACGUAAUAUUGUAAUAAAUUCAAUUUAUUUAACGUAUAUGAUUUUUCUUUGAUAAAGUAUUAGGGCAUUAUCGGCUUCUGGUUAAAUUUGUAAAAUGUAUGAAAACACAUUGGUAGAUUAUUCAUUUAAUGUCUACUGAUCGAUGCUGUGUUUUUUAUUUUUUUAUUCCUAAUCAUUGGUUUUGAACUGCGACAAAGUUCGAUGUUAAGAUUAAUAUUUAUUUAAAAAAUAGAGAUUCCAAUUUAUUGUCUGUGAUAUUUUAGGUCAAGGUCACGCAGUCCACGAAGGAGGUCAAUCACCCGCAGUAGAAGCCGCGAUCGUCGCUCACGUUCUGACUCUCCUCGCGACAGACGUUAGGUGCUAAAUGUUCGAGAAAGGAAGGACUUUAAAAUCCCAAGAUGAAGAAGAGCAAAGCAUUCUUUGUAAAUUAAUUAAAUCACAUGUUCAAAAUAACACACAUCAUACGAAUAUUAUGACACAUAACUUUAAGUUAGACUAAGACGCAUAUUAUACACAACACACACCCACCCACAUCCGCGCUGUGUUUAAAAAAUAUCGAGAAACUAACUAUUUUAUUGCAAUUAUUGACUAUAAAAUCAGAUUCAAUCAACGGAGCGUUUGAUUGAAUGACUUUGCAUAGGACACGUAUAUGAUGUGAUUGAGCCCCACAAUUGUUUUAUGUUGUAUUAAUUAUUUUGUACUCUUACAAAUUUAAGGAUUUAAAAUAAAGCUAUAAUACAUGGUAAA